rnacentral:rRNA from 1 species
UACAGAGGGUGCGAGCGUUAAUCGGAAUUACUGGGCGUAAAGCGUGCGCAGGCGGUGAUGUAAGACAGAUGUGAAAUCCCCGGGCUCAACCCGGGAGCUGCGUCCGAUACUGGAAGGCUUGAAUCCGGGAGAGGGAUGUGGAAUUCCAGGUGUAGCGGUGAAAUGCGUAGAUAUCUGGAGGAACACCGGUGGCGAAGGCGACAUCCUGGACCGGUAUUGACGCUGAGGCGCGAAAGCCAGGGGAGCAAACGGG